rnacentral:piRNA from 1 species
UCUGGGAUAAAGAGAACAAAGAUGCGUGGUC